rnacentral:rRNA from 1 species
AGCGAACGCUGGCGGCAGGCCUAACACAUGCAAGUCGAACGAACCUUUCGGGGUUAGUGGCGGACGGGUGAGUAACACGUGGGAACGUGCCUUUAGGUUCGGAAUAACUCAGGGAAACUUGUGCUAAUACCGAAUGUGCCCUUCGGGGGAAAGAUUAAUCGCCUUUAGAGCGGCCCGCGUCUGAUUAGCUAGUUGGUUGAGGUAAUGGCUCACCAAGGCUACGAUCAGUAGCUGGUCUGAGAGGAUGAUCAGCCACAUUGGGACUGUGACACGGCCCAAACUCCUACGGGAGGCAGCAGUGGGGAAUCUUGCGCAAUGGGCGAAAGCCUGACGCAGCCAUGCCGCGUGAAUGAUGAAGGUCUUAGGAUUGUAAAAUUCUUUCACCGGGGACGAUAAUGACGGUACCCGGAGAAGAAGCCCCGGCUAACUUCGUG